AAACUAGUGGAUACAAGAAACUUAGGCAGAUUAUUACACCAUAUGGGUGUGAGAGAUAAUGAAUAUUAUCUACUUGGUAUCAGCAAACAGGUGUCCAAGGUGAUCAAUUCAGGACUCUUCCACUGAAGAGAUGUGAAGUGUAAGUUUAACUGAAGUAUCAUUGCAAUUGUGUGCCUUCUCAGUUAUUGGGCAAUUUAAAGAGCAUGAUGAAUGUUUGUAGUAUAAUGGUGUAAAUCCUUUUGAUUUGUUGCAUGAAAGACAUGUGGGAUCAUGUAGCACCUGCUUUGACAUUGAUUCUCAGGAGUGUGAGUUGCUCCUCUGAUUUUAGAUCACAUUUGUUCUCAUCACUUGGCCUAUGCACAUUGAUAUUGACACGGUUUUAGUUUAGUUUUUGACAUAUGAGAAAUCAUACCAUGUUUGAAAUUGUAAGGGUAUAUUUCAUGGAGCCUGUAUUCCCUUUUCUCAGUGCAUUUCUGUCACGUUCUAGUCCGCAGACACAAAGUAGAAGCCAUCAAAGCCUACGCUAAUACAGGCAGGAGGACAGAGUUUGAUGCUAACACUGCAUGAAUGUGUGGAUAUCUUUGUCAUAUUUACAUAUGAGUGAUUAUGAAUCCCUUUUGCUUUUCAGUGUCUUCUCAGAAACCACCAGCCUUGAAGGCUACAAGUGUCAAGGAAGAUUCUGUUUUGAAUAUAGCCAGAGAAAAAAAGGAUGGAGAAAAAUCUAGGACAGGUAAUUUUGAAAACAGAUUUAAUGUCAUGUUCAGUCCAGAUAGAUAAGAAGUUCUCUUCCCCAAAUAAAUCAGCGGGGGGCUCGUCGAAGCUGCACUUUCUGAUUCAGCAGGCCAGAGAUUCUUCAUUUGUAGUAAGUUCUUGAGUGAUGCUGAUGCUGAUGCUGAUGCUGCUGGUCUGGAACAUGACCUUCGCUGUAAGAUUAUACACUUCCCCACAUUGAAGUUGGGAAGAAGAUAUAUGGAGAGCAGUUGAAGACAUAAGGGGCUCUGGGGAAGAGCAUAGUUUUGCUUUAAUUCUACAGCUUGUUUUCAGUAAGGGUGGAAGGAGAAAGAGAGGAAGUAUCGAUUUUACAGACAUCACAUCAUACUGCUAAAAACAGACAGCAAACUUGUUGUAAUAACCCGUACACACUGUAGGAGAACUAAGGAGACCCCUGGUGUAGCAAUCAUUUUCCCAAGGAAGACGGAUUGUGAGGCAGGAAGGUGUGAAAAGAGGAAGUCAUUUAUAUAAUUUUGGGGUUUGUGCUGAGGAAACCUGAGUGAACUCACUUCAGAUGCAUUUGGAAUAUUUUAAUAAAAAAUACUUGAUUUUGGCUGCUGCAGGAACUGCUGGAAGAAGGAAACAAUCCUAGAAUUGGCAUAAAAACACACUGAGUCAUUACUCCUCUUUGUUACUAUUAGGCAUCAGAGAUACAUGUUUUGUUGAUUUUAGUUAUAGAAAUGAGACAAACUUGAAUAUGAACACAUUGGCUUCCUUGUUGAAGGAGCUACCUCUUGGAUACAAUAGCUAUUUCAUGAAACUUCUUUAGAGAACAACAUGAUACUCCCAACAAAGCUAUUUUAGAAACAAAAAUUAUGCUGGAUUCUAAUUAACUCCUAAAAUGGUCAUUUUCAAUGAAUAUUGCAGUGAUUUCUGAAAGAGAAACUGAUCAGUAUCUAAUGCUUGUAGCAGUUUUACUUUGUAUAGGUAUGUCAAAAUUGAUAAUUGAUGAUAUUUUUAUUGAGGCUAAUAUAUUAUCCUUUGGUGCCACGACUGGAUGAAGAAACUUUUGGAAGGCUAAACUAGUGGAUACAAGAAACUUAGGCAGAUUAUUACACCAUAUGGGUGUGAGAGAUAAUGAAUAUUAUCUACUUGGUAUCAGCAAACAGGUGUCCAAGGUGAUCAAUUCAGGACUCUUCCACUGAAGAGAUGUGAAGUGUAAGUUUAACUGAAGUAUCAUUGCAAUUGUGUGCCUUCUCAGUUAUUGGGCAAUUUAAAGAGCAUGAUGAAUGUUUGUAGUAUAAUGGUGUAAAUCCUUUUGAUUUGUUGCAUGAAAGACAUGUGGGAUCAUGUAGCACCUGCUUUCACGUUGAUUCUCAGGUGUAUGAGUUUCUCCUCUGAUUUUAGAUCACUUUGUCCUCAUCACUCAGC
rnacentral:lncRNA from 1 species